AGUAAGAUGCCUGACUGAAAAGGAUUAUCUUGAUAGGAUAAAAAAUGUAGAUUUACUACUCUUACUA
rnacentral:tRNA from 1 species